rnacentral:rRNA from 1 species
AAGUGACGCGGUAGAGGAGCGUUCUGUAAGCCUGUGAAGGUGAGUUGAGAAGCUUGCUGGAGGUAUCAGAAGUGCGAAUGCUGACAUGAGUAACGACAAUGGGUGUGAAAAACACCCACGCCGAAAGACCAAGGGUUCCUGCGCAACGUUAAUCGACGCAGGGUUAGUCGGUUCCUAAGGCGAGGCUGAAAAGCGUAGUCGAUGGGAAACAGGUUAAUAUUCCUGUACUUCUGGUUACUGCGAUGGAGGGACGGAGAAGGCUAGGCCAGCUUGGCGUUGGUUGUCCAAGUUUAAGGUGGUAGGCUGAAAUCUUAGGUAAAUCCGGGGUUUCAAGGCCGAGAGCUGAUGACGAGUCGUCUUUUAGAUGACGAAGUGGUUGAUGCCAUGCUUCCAAGAAAAGCUUCUAAGCUUCAGGUAACCAGGAACCGUACCCCAAACCGACACAGGUGGUCGGGUAGAGAAUACCAAGGCGCUUGAGAGAACUCGGGUGAAGGAACUAGGCAAAAUGGCACCGUAACUUCGGGAGAAGGUGCGCCGGCUAGGGUGAAGGAUUUACUCCGUAAGCUCUGGCUGGUCGAAGAUACCAGGCCGCUGCGACUGUUUAUUAAAAACACAGCACUCUGCAAACACGAAAGUGGACGUAUAGGGUGUGACGCCUGCCCGGUGCCGGAAGGUUAAUUGAUGGGGUUAGCGCAAGCGAAGCUCUUGAUCGAAGCCCCGGUAAACGGCGGCCGUAACUAUAACGGUCCUAAGGUAGCGAAAUUCCUUGUCGGGUAAGUUCCGACCUGCACGAAUGGCGUAACGAUGGCGGCGCUGUCUCCACCCGAGACUCAGUGAAAUUGAAAUCGCUGUGAAGAUGCAGUGUAUCCGCGGCUAGACGGAAAGACCCCGUGAACCUUUACUGUAGCUUUGCACUGGACUUUGAGCCUGCUUGUGUAGGAUAGGUGGGAGGCUUUGAAGCGUGGACGCCAGUUCGCGUGGAGCCAUCCUUGAAAUACCACCCUGGCAUGCUUGAGGUUCUAACUCUGGUCCGUAAUCCGGAUCGAGGACAGUGUAUGGUGGGCAGUUUGACUGGGGCGGUCUCCUCCUAAAGAGUAACGGAGGAGUACGAAGGUGCGCUCAGACCGGUCGGAAAUCGGUCGCAGAGUAUAAAGGCAAAAGCGCGCUUGACUGCGAGACAGACACGUCGAGCAGGUACGAAAGUAGGUCUUAGUGAUCCGGUGGUUCUGUAUGGAAGGGCCAUCGCUCAACGGAUAAAAGGUACUCCGGGGAUAACAGGCUGAUACCGCCCAAGAGUUCAUAUCGACGGCGGUGUUUGGCACCUCGAUGUCGGCUCAUCACAUCCUGGGGCUGAAGCCGGUCCCAAGGGUAUGGCUGUUCGCCAUUUAAAGUGGUACGCGAGCUGGGUUUAGAACGUCGUGAGACAGUUCGGUCCCUAUCUGCCGUGGACGUUUGAGAUUUGAGAGGGGCUGCUCCUAGUACGAGAGGACCGGAGUGGACGAACCUCUGGUGUUCCGGUUGUCACGCCAGUGGCAUUGCCGGGUAGCUAUGUUCGGAAAAGAUAACCGCUGAAAGCAUCUAAGCGGGAAACUUGCCUCAAGAUGAGAUCUCACUGGGAACUUGAUUCCCCUGAAGGGCCGUCGAAGACUACGACGUUGAUAGGCUGGGUGUGUAAGCGUUGUGAGGCGUUGAGCUAACCAGUACUAAUUGCCCGUGAGGCUUGACCAU